GGAGAGGUGUCCGAGUUGGCCGAAGGAGCACGAUUGGAAAUCGUGUGUACCCUAGCGGGUACCGAGGGUUCGAAUCCCUCCCUCUCCG
rnacentral:tRNA from 1 species